CCUACGGGAUGCAGCAGUGAGGAAUAUUGGUCAAUGGACGAGAGUCUGCACCAGCCAAGUAGCGUGAAGGAUGACUGCCCUCUGGGUUGUAAACUUCUUUUAUAUGGGAAUAAAAUGUUCCACGUGUGGGCUUUUGUAUGUCCCAUAUGAAUAAGGAUCGGCUAACUCCGUGCCAGCAGCCGCGGUAAUCCGGAGGAUCCGAGCGUUAUCCGGAUUUAUUGGGUUUAAAGGGAGCUUAGGUGGAUGGUUAAGUCAGUUGUGAAAGGUUGCGGGUCAACCGUAAAAUUGCAGUUGAAACUGGCAGUCUUGAGUACAGUAGAGGAGGGCGGAAUUCGUGGUGUAGCGGUGAAAUGCUUAGAUAUCACGAAGAACUCCGAUUGCGAAGGCAGCUCACUGGACUGCAACUGACACUGAGGCUCGAAAGUGUGGGUAUCAAACAGGAUUAGAUACCCGAGUAGUC
rnacentral:rRNA from 1 species